UCAAGUCUGCUACAGGAGGAUUUUUGUUGUGAUUAACCUGCUUUUCUCCUUCGCAAGUUGUUUAUUAAUAUUUGUGUAAUUCUAUUAACUCCUAAAAUUUCUGCAUGUGUUAGAAAUAUUUAUUUGGUUUGGGUCUGUAAUAUAAUUAUCAUAUUGGACCUGUAAACUUAUUAUUAUAUGCAUGAUUGAUGGACUGGAUGAGGAAGCUGAGCUCCCAUUUAUUUUUGAUGACAUUGAGUAUGUGGAGGGUGAGCUGA
rnacentral:misc_RNA from 1 species